rnacentral:rRNA from 1 species
GACGAACGCUGGCGGCGUGCUUAACACAUGCAAGUCGAACGGAAAGGCCCUGCUUUUGUGGGGUGCUCGAGUGGCGAACGGGUGAGUAACACGUGAGUAACCUGCCCUUGACUUUGGGAUAACUUCAGGAAACUGGGGCUAAUACCGGAUAGGAGCUCCUGCUGCAUGGUGGGGGUUGGAAAGUUUCGGCGGUUGGGGAUGGACUCGCGGCUUAUCAGCUUGUUGGUGGGGUAGUGGCUUACCAAGGCUUUGACGGGUAGCCGGCCUGAGAGGGUGACCGGCCACAAUGGGACUGAGAUACGGCCCAGACUGCUACGGGAGGCAGCAGUGGGGAGUAUUGCACAAUGGGCGGAAGCCUGAUGCAGCAACGCCGCGUGCGGGAUGACGGCCUUCGGGUUGUAAACCGCUUUCGCCUGUGACGAAGCGUGAGUGACGGUAAUGGGUAAAGAAGCACCGGCUAACUACGUG